UUUUCCCAGGAGGGCGAUUGGGACUGGAGGCCAUUGGGGGAAUCGCAGGGCUCUCUGUCGUGUGUCUGGCUCCACUGAUUUAUCUGCUGGUGAAGAAAGUUUCAGCUAAACAGAGAUGUCUGAGGAAACAGCUCCCAAACCGCAGCACUGAGAACACGCCCACGGACGAGCAGAUCCUCUAACCAGUCAGGUCUGGGAGGAGAGCAGGUGCUGUCACCACGAGCCAGCACUGCGCUGGUCAUGCUGGGGGAGCCAGUGUGAACCGACCCC